AAAGGUGACUUAACACCUGGAAUUAUACCUGGGUAAAAGUGUUUAGCUUUUCAUUAGUCAAGGCAGUAGCCAGUCCCCAUUUUACGAGCAUUGGCUAUAAAUGACUUUAAAAACAAAAAUGAGCCUUCAUUUUGUCAAAUUUUAAUUCUAAAAAGCAUAUCCUUCCAAAAAAAAAUAAUAAAACACAAUUCCAAAAGCCAUGGUCUUUGCUCCUGGUACAUCAAAUUUUCAAGGGCUUUUUCCCCAGCUGUAGCUACGCUUUAUCAGCACUGGGGUAAAAAUAAAAGGCAGUGUCAUCAUCGUCAUUAGCAUUAUAUCAUCAUUAUUAUACAAUCAAACCAGAGUCCGACAGACCAAGAUUCUGUCUCUCUUAAGGGCGGGCUUUCCUUCUAAAGGUUCAGCUCAGAAUAUUUUAUUUUCAGAAAAACGAUGUUGGAGCCGGGAGCCGCUAUUUACUCCGCCACUACCUUCUGGGCUCUCCCCCCUCAUCUUCAAUGUUCCUUUUUUCUCAAUAGGAAAUGAGGGGCCCUUCUUCCAUUCCCCACUCCCCAAGAGCCCGGACCCCAAAGCAUCUCCGGACGACCCACAGCAACAGCCGACGAGAGGGGCGAGCGGCGGCGCCGGCUGCCUCCGCUUCUCCCUCCGCCUCCCGCUUCCCUCCCCGCGUCUCCAGCCCCCUCCCUCCUCUCCCCUCCUCAACGUUCCUCACCCCCCCACCCCCCGGCCUCCCGCGCCGCUCUGCCCGCAGCCGUCGCCGCGCUCGCCCGCCGUCCGCUCUCCCCGCAGCACAGCGGCUGCUCUUGGGGGACGUGAGGCAGGGGCGGCGACUGCUGCGGCCCGAGUCCCGCCUCAGUCUGCUGGGCGUGCAGAGCCGCAGCUCCCGCCGUCCCUCCCCGGGCCGAACGCCGAGGCGCGGGGCUCUCGCCCGCGGGCGCGCGAACACACAAACACCCUCACACGGACGUUCGCGCGCCCAGCCGGAGCACACACAAACACCCUCACACAGACGUUGGCGCGCGGGCGCUCACGCUCACAGACACACACACAGGUGUGAGGAAGCCGCGGCUGGACAGCGGCGUCGGCGUCCCAGAGAGAUUGCCACAGUCCAAGAAAGGAAGAAGGCUGAAGAAAUCAAGGGGAGUAGCUACAAAAGCAUUUUCCGAAGGAUAGGAGAAGCAAAGGAGGUGAUGAGGAAGGACCCUUAUUCCCCUUAUGCAUAUCAGGCUUGA
rnacentral:lncRNA from 1 species